rnacentral:rRNA from 1 species
AUUGAACGCUGGCGGCAUGCUUUACACAUGCAAGUCGGACGAGUGGCGAACGGGUGAGUAAUAUAUGGGAACGUACCUAGUAAUGGGGGAUAACUAAUCGAAACAGUAGCUAAUACCGCAUACUAUCCGAUCUGCCGAUAUCUGAUUAGCUAGUUGGUGGGGUAACGGCUCACCAAGGCGACGAUCCGUAGCUGGUUUGAGAGGACGACCAGCCACACUGGGACUGAGACACGGUCCAGACUCCUACGGGAGGCAGCAGUGGGGAAUUGUGCACAAUGGGGGAAACCCUGAUCCAGCCAUGCCGCGUGUAUGAUGAAGGCCUUCGGGUUGUAAAGCACUUUUGGCAGGGAGGCGUUACCUGCAGAAGAAGCACCGGCUAACUACGUGCCAGCAGCCGCGGUAAUUC